rnacentral:rRNA from 1 species
GACGAACGCUGGCGGCGUGCUUAACACAUGCAAGUCGAACGGAAAGGCCCCUUUGGGGGUCCUCGAGUGGCGAACGGGUGAGUAACACGUGAGUAACCUGCCCUUGACUUCGGGAUAACUUCAGGAAACUGGGGCUAAUACCGGAUAGGAAUCCUUGCUGCAUGGUGGGGGUUGGAAAGCUUCGGCGGUUUUGGAUGGACUCGCGGCUUAUCAGCUUGUUGGUGGGGUAGUGGCUUACCAAGGCUUUGACGGGUAGCCGGCCUGAGAGGGCGACCGGCCACAUUGGGACUGAGAUACGGCCCAGACUCCUACGGGAGGCAGCAGUGGGGAAUAUUGCACAAUGGGCGGAAGCCUGAUGCAGCAACGCCGCGUGCGGGAUGACGGCCUUCGGGUUGUAAACCGCUUUCAGCAGGGGCGAAGCUUGUGGUGACGGUACCUGCAGAAGAGGCACCGGCUAACUACGUG